rnacentral:rRNA from 1 species
AGAGUUUGAUCCUGGCUCAGGAUGAACGCUAGCUACAGGCUUAACACAUGCAAGUCGAGCGGAACGCCUUCGGGCGUUUAGCGGCAGACGGGUGAGUAACACGUAUCCAACCUUUCCUUUACUCGGGCAUAGCCUUUAGAAAUGAAGAGUAAUUCCCGAUGUGGUGUACAGUCCGCAUGUUUUGCACACCAAAGAUUCAUCGGUAAAGGGUGGGGAUGCGUUCCAUUAGGUAGUAGGCGGGGCAACGGCCCACCUAGCCGAUGAUGGAUAGGGGUUCUGAGAGGAAGGUCCCCCACAUUGGAACUGCGACACGGUCCAAACUCCUACGGGAGGCAGCAGUGAGGAAUAUUGGUCAAUGGGCGAGAGCCUGAACCAGCCAAGUAGCGUGCAGGAUGACGGCCCUAUGGGUUGUAAACUGCUUUUAACCGGGAAUAACGUUACCUUCGUGAAGGUAAGUGCAUGUACCGUAAGAAUAAGGACCGGCUAAUUCCGUGCCAGCAGCCGCGGUAAUACGGAAGGUCUGGGCGUUAUCCGGAUUUAUUGGGUUUAAAGGGAGCGUAGGCGGCCUUUUAAGUCAGCGGUCAAAUGUCAGCGCCCAACGCUGGCCUGCCGUUGAUACUGAUGGGCUUGAAUACACACAAGGAAGGUGGAAUUCGUCGUGUAGCGGUGAAAUGCUUAGAUAUGACGAAGAACUCCGAUUGCGAAGGCAGCCUUCUGGAGUGCGAUUGACGCUGAGGCUCGAAAGCGCGGGUAUCAAACAGGAUUAGAUACCCUGGUAGUCCGCGCCGUAAACGAUGGAUGCCCGUCAUUGGCGAUACACAGUCAGUGACCAAGCGAAAGCAUUAAGCAUCCCACCUGGGGAGUACGCCGGCAACGGUGAAACUCAAAGGAAUUGACGG